rfam:Schistosoma haematobium scaffold80_18, whole genome shotgun sequence.
AUCCAGGUGACGAGUGCCAAAUAGGACGAAACGCGCGUCCUGAAU